rnacentral:lncRNA from 1 species
UUGUAUAUAAAGCAUGAUAAAUAAAAAUACUUAUCUUAACAAAGAAAUGUGUAACGGAGAUGUGAGAUCCACCCAUCAUGUUUCCCAACUGAUUUCUUCUCUUUGAUUGAGGAUACAUAAUCCUGCAAUAUCUUAAAUUUGCUUAUAUAAAUAUGACUUUUUAUUAAGUAUUAGAUAUCAGCGUAUACAUCUGUGUCAAUCUGUGCAUACGCAAAUUCAUAGUGAAUAAUGAAAUAUAAUUUUAAACCAGGAUACACAUCAACAAACAUCUUUUGUAAGGUAUGAGUUUUUUUGGCGUAAUAUAAUAGCUGCUAAUGAAUUUCGUUUAAUCUACGUACCAACACCAAACUAAUAUAUCGAUUGAUACAAGUUAAUGCAUGAAACCGGGUUAGUGCAUGAACGAAUAAUGAGAAGUAUGUAUGUGAACAAAUCAGACUAUCAAACAUGAACGAUCAGCUUUGAUUCCAUCUUUCUAUACAAGAAUUAUGUUAAAUAUAAAAACAACAAAAUUUAAUCUAAUAAACGUUUAACUUAAUAGCAAACCAGACCAAAGCGAUAAACCAUUAAUUAAUAUCAGUUUUCUAUGAUAUCUAUACUAUUAAAGCAAGAUCUUAUUGUCAUAAUUACCUUAGGAGCAUGUUUCCUUCAUUAACAUUGCAUGUUUCAUUAAGGACAAUUAAGUAAUAUUAAUAACAAAUCUAUAUUGGGUCAUAUUGAAAAAAAAAACAAAAAUAAACCCGCGCUUUGAAAGCGCGAAUCAAAAUCUAGUAUACUUUAAAGUAAAAGCAGAACCGGAUAUGUUACGUCACCUCCAAUUUAUUAUUUCUUUAUGAUACAAUUCUUGCCAAACCAAAUUAAACACGAGUCCUGGAAACAUGACUAGACAGCUAGUCAAGGCAAUUCACAAUCAUCAUAAAC